CGGGGAGUGGCGCAGCGUGGUAGCGCACCUGCUUUGGGAGCAGGGGGUCGGGGGUUCAAGUCCCCCCUCCCCGA
rnacentral:tRNA from 2 species